CAGACAUUAGAAUUGAUAUUGCUAAUACAUCAAGGUCUAAAAUAAAUCCACCUUAAUCCUUGUAGCUAAGUAAAAGUUCCAUGUGCACUAGCUCAGCAUGUGAUUUUUCUCUACUCUUUUGUACGUGGUGUUUAGCAAAUGUAUUUCAGCCAGGACAAAACUCAGUGCCUUUCUUUCAUUCUCUCAAUCAGCAGCGGCUGCUUACCUGUUUCAGAGACAGCUUUCACCAACUCCAGGUUACCCAAGUCAGUAUCAGCUUUACGCAAUGGAGAACACAAGACAGACAAUCUUAAAUGAUUACAUUACCUCACAACAGAUGCAAGUGAACUUGCGUCCAGAUGUGGCCAGAGGACUCUCCCCAAGAGAGCAGCCACUGGGUCUCCCAUACCCAGCAACGAGAGGAAUCAUUGACCUGACCAAUAUGCCUCCAACAAUUUUAGUGCCUCAUCCAGGGGGAACAAGCACUCCUCCCAUGGACAGAAUCACUUAUAUUCCUGGUACACAGAUUACUUUCCCUCCCAGGCCGUACAACUCUGCUUCCAUGUCUCCAGGACACCCAACACACCUUGCAGCUGCUGCAAGUGCUGAGAGGGAACGGGAACGGGAGCGGGAGCGGGAGAAGGAGCGGGAGCGGGAACGGAUUGCUGCAGCUUCCUCCGACCUCUACCUGCGGCCAGGCUCAGAACAGCCUGGCCGACCUGGCAGUCAUGGAUAUGUUCGCUCCCCUUCCCCUUCAGUAAGAACUCAGGAGACCAUGUUGCAACAGAGACCCAGUGUUUUCCAAGGAACCAAUGGAACCAGUGUAAUCACACCUUUGGAUCCAACUGCUCAGCUACGAAUCAUGCCACUGCCUGCUGGGGGCCCUUCAAUA
rnacentral:sRNA from 1 species